ACCCUUUUAAAAGCACUCAGUGGGCCUUUUGCUGAUCGAACCCCUGAGCGUCAAGAAAGGGCAGAGUGAAAACAGCCGCUUUUGGGUUGAAGCGGAGCAUGUUUGUGGUUGUUUUGGCUUUCAUAUCGGUCGGUGUGACAAGU
rnacentral:snoRNA from 1 species